UUUCCCUCUGAGCAAAAGGGCAUUGCCAACAUAUUUGGAUAAGGUAUUGCUUCACUCAAUAAUUGCUCCACACUUAGUUUUCGCUAAAUAACUCUUCGCAAAAUUACUGAUACUCAACUCGUGUUUUCAAUUAUCAUCACUCGUUUUGGAGCGUCAAAGAUGCACCGGCCAGAAGAUGCAAGUUUCUUCAAUUCAUCAGCAAAUUGCGCAACUGGGCACCAUAAUCGUUUCCCUUCGUUAAGGCUGCCUUCGUUCGACAGGAAGUAUGGUGACUACAUGAAGUUUAUCACUGCCUUUACUAGCAUGGUACAUGAUGACGCUUCAAUAUAAACUGUUGACAAAUUUAACAACCUGCUUAACUGUUUGUCUGGUCCCGCGCUGAGUGUCGUGGCCCCCUUUCAAGUGUCCGAAAUCAAUUAUCCAAAGGUGUUAAGGCAGUUAAAGGAGCGCUACGAUAAAAAGGUUUUUAUUUUCAUAGAGCUCAUUUCUAGCUUAUUUGAUAUUCAAAUUAUGAAAAGAUUUAAGUUCCGCAUUGAUUGUCGCUUAGUGAAUUAAGGAGGACAUACUGCGAAUAAAACGGCUUUACAACGGCAGUCAGCCUGCGUUACCUUUCUACUUGCUGCUCGAGCAGAGGUACGCAGCUUGUUAAUACUAAAAUUGGUGAUAAACUGUUAGCCCAACGGCAAUGAAAACGACAAUCAUGAGGCGCGCUGAAGGGUUAUGCGUCUUUAAAGGGUCAGGCUUCCAAUAAAUUCAUAAAAUCACUCUGGACACAGCCUACGGGAAACUUAAAGAAAAAGUGUGAAACACACUAUUGAACACCGCAAGUACAUCAUGGAAGAAGAAGAAAUGCAGUUACCCAGGAUUAAUAUUACGAAAUUAGAAAAACAAUUAUAAUAAAGGUGACAAUUCUUCGGUUUUCAUAUGCCCAACAA